rnacentral:rRNA from 1 species
GAUGAACGCUGGCGGCGUGCUUAACACAUGCAAGUCGAACGUGAGAAUAGCAAUAUUUGAAAGUGGCAAACGGGUGAGUAACACGUGGGAACCUGCCUCGAAGUGGGGGAUAACGAUUGGAAACGGUCGCUAAUACCGCAUGGUUCUGCUCUGAUGGGAAUGGAGCAGAUAAAGAUUUAUCGCUUUGAGAGGGGCCCGCGGCCGAUUAGCUAGUUGGUAAGGUAAAGGCUUACCAAGGCGAUUAUCGGUAGCUGGUCUGAGAGGACGAUCAGCCACACGGGAACUGAGACACGGUCCCGACUCCUACGGGGGGCAGCAGUGAGGAAUAUUGGGCAAUGGGCGAAAGCCUGACCCAGCAACGCCGCGUGGAGGAUGAAGGCUUUAGGGUUGUAAACUCCUUUUGUGGGGGAAAAGAAUGGAUGGUACCCCAAGAAUAAGUCACGGCUAACUACGUG